rnacentral:lncRNA from 1 species
GUACCGCUGUGAGCACCCAGGACAUCUGCAGCUUCAGGGCUGACGGUGAGUGUGAGAAUGGGUCCAGAACAUGAAGACGUGGUGGGGAAGGAGGUGGGAGGAGGAAGGGCAUCAUCCCCCCUUUGCAUUCACAGUGUUCAACCCUGCAGUGCUACCUGUCCAUGCCUUGGGAUACGAUGUGUUUGUCACCUACUGAUGGUGGUGGGAUCCCUGUGCCAUCUCUCCAGGUUCUCUCGCAGCUCCAGUCCUGUACCUCAAUGCAUCCAGUGCUCAGGAAGGGGACGUCGUCCAGGCUCGAUGUGUCCUUCAGAAGCUGGUUCCUGCUACCCGAAUUAUCUUCUGCAAGGAUGGGUUGAAGAUGUCUGUCCUUAAAGCCCAAGAGGGCGGAGCUAUCAACUUCAUCCUGCUGAACAUCACUGAGGGAAGCACUGGGACAUACACGUGUUUGUACCAGCAGAAGAAUGAGAUGAACAGACAGAGAAACUCUCCACUCAGUCCUCCCCGCAAACUGAAUGUCACAGGCCACAUCCCUGACCCCACAGGAGGGAUGGCGCCCACAGGUGAGGGUCACCCCUUUUCUUUUGUUGAUCCCAUUCUUCCACUGUGUCCCUAUCACUACAUCCCCACCGCACACCAAUGUCCUCAUCACCAUAUUCCAUCAACUCCAAUGCUCUUCUCUGUAUCCCUCCACUCUGUACCCAGAGACCAACUCACAGCAGGACCACACAGUGACUGUGGUGGCAUCGGUGGCUGUCACCCUCCUUUUUUCUGCAGCCACCUAUUGGACUAUCAAGAAAGGUGCCUGCAGAGAGAGAUGCCAAAGGCAGCAGAAUGAUCCCAGCCAGCAGAUGGAAGCCACUGAGUACGGAGAAAUACAGUAUGCCACCAUUGCCCACGUUCAAGGGCACAAAGUGAGUUGGGUCCCUCUCCCCCUGGAAAUGAAGUUCCCUAGACGUGCAAUUUUCUUGCUUGUACAACUUCUCAUGUAUCUCCUUCCCUUCCCUUCCCUUCCCUUCCCUUCCCUUCCCUUCCCUUCCCUUCCCUUCCCUUCCCUUCCUUCCCUUCCCUUCCCUUCCCUUCCCUUCCCUUCCCUUCCCUUCCCUUCCCUUCCCUCCCUUUCCCUUCCCUUCCCUUCUCUCCUUCCCUUCCCUUCCCUCCCUUCCCUUCCCUUCCCUUCCCUUCCCUUCCCUUCCCUUCCCUAGCAGAAAUAUGGCAGAUCAUGAGAUACGUUUUCCAGCCACGAAUCACACUCUCCUCUUCGACCUCCCCUUGUUGCGCAGAGCUGCAGCCCCUUCUUUGCAGCUGCCAGAACUCUGUGAUUCCUCCUCAGAAGCUCCAUAAAUGGUUCCAUCCCAAAAGCUGGAAGAACAUUUCUGAGUGCUUUUAAAGAGUCUGGAUAGGAAGAAUCUCUUUAACAACCACGAAGAAGAAAGAGGCUGUCCAGCAAGCGAUUGCUGCCCCAAACCUGCUCUUAUCUUUGCAAACUGUCUCCUGACUGCUACAGCAACGUGCAUGGAUCCUUCAGGUGUGCCUGGAGCCUCCUGGUGCAUAUUAGGAAACAAGAACCGAUUUAUUUCACGGUCAAUAGUAAAGAGUUGUAUUUAACCAUCUGCCCACCUCUUUGCUUUUGUGCUCAUUGGCUUUUGCCCUUAUGCAUCACACAGUGGAAACGUUCAUCUUUGCACCCAUGCAAUGUAGCUUUUUCACUGACCGACCUCAGCUCAGGUCACAGAGAUACUUAUACAUCCCCAUUAGAUGCAGGAGGCGUUGAGUGAGACCAGCCCUGAUGCACACAGCUAUGGAUAUUUCAGAUAUCCACGUCCCUGCACGGAAAAAUUUUGCUUUAAUAUUGAGGCAUUUGCAUUACACAUUGAAAUGGUUCGACUACCUCGAGGUUGUCCAAGAGAUAAGAAAACCCAAAGACCACACACAGCCCCUGAUAAACCAAAGCACAGCCUUCAGAUCCUACCGGGUAAUUAAACCCUAUGGGGAUGUGCAGCCCGCUGCUGGGUUUGCUUUCAUUUUCACUUUGUUCUGCUGCUUAAUGAAUAGCAGAAGUAGUGACGGAACAAAGCCAGUCUCUGCAACACAGAGACACAGGAGAUCUCCAUAGUCUUCCCAGCUGAAUCUGUUGUACUCCUAAUGGACGAAUGCAACCUGACAAUGCCCGUCUUUCCAUUGGAGCUGUGGCAGAAUCCUUGU